rnacentral:lncRNA from 1 species
UUUUUAAACCACUGGAAAAUAUCACAAAAGUGUUAAAAUGUAUUAAGAAACAUAUAACAAUUUUUUUAGGAAUUUUUAGAGAAAAGAUUGAGCAUGCAGAGGUUCAAUUAGCAAAAAAGCAGGGUGCAGAUAGCAGGAAAAUAGCAAAAAAAACGAAAAAAGCAAAGCCCAAACCAACCAAAAGAUCCGGAUUCACCAGGAGCGUUGGAUUGAUCCAGGGAAGGAAACCCUAGAUCCAAC